GCAUCCUUUGUGCCAGAUCUGAAGAGAUAGGACUGGUUGUUAGGUCUGCUGGAGGGAUAGGGAUGCUUACAACACACACACACACACACACACACACACACACACACACACACACACACACACACACACACACACACACACACACACACAAACACACACACGCAUAUAAACACACAUUACAGAGGCAGCCAUCAUGUGGAUCAGCUGUAACCCAAAACCAUCAUUCAGCAUGUGUGUUGUGGCUUUGUAGGGCACGGCGGCGGCGGCAGGGCGGCACUCGGGAGUGUGGAGGGGGCGUGCCCGCCACAUGCCGCAGUAAUGGUGAUGAUGGUGGUGAGACAAAAAGAGAUCUGUCAUUCAAAAGAACCAAAUGGCGGGAGGAUGGGUGGACGGUACCAUAAAAGACUGACAGGCGAGCCCCGACCUUGAUAUCACGUACGCAAGCACAUACAUACACUGGUGAGGUCACAAUAACCUCUCCCUCUGUGUAUGAUACAGAUGUCCUCUAUCCACUUUUCUUUCUUUCUUUCUUUUUUUUUUUCCUGCCUGCAUUUCAGUGUUGCUCCUUCCUUGGGAAAAAGAGCAAGACCGAUAUAAAACAGCAAUAAUAAUGACGACGACGACGUUACUAUUCUAGGCGGAUCAAGCCUGACUACUCCUAUGACAUACUCGUCUAGUCAUGUACUCAGGACUGUUGGCGUGACUCAUGCAGUGUUCCCUCAGGCGAGCCAACAGUUUCAGUGAAAAUGAUGAGUCAAUUUCACUUUUAUAACGAAGAACAAUUCUGUAAGCAUAAUUUUGGCAGUGAGCAAGCAGUGAUCGAUACCACGGCGUCUAUGUCAGAGGCUCCUUCCCAUCCGUAAGCGUGGCUCACCCUUGUCACUGAGGCAAGCACGCUUAUCCCCUCCUCGUCCUCUCCUAUUCUUGCCAGCAGUGAGUGACGGUCCCGCGCCUCACUCUGCCCAGGCCCCAGCACCAGUGCCCGCCUGUACUACCUUCCACCAAACUACUGACUGACGCUGCCCUCGCCAGGCAAACAGGUCAACGUCAAAAUAUGAAGAGACAAAUCUUUCUUUACCGAAACUGAACUGAAUUAAAAUCUUUUAAACUUCAUUAGCCGUGACGGUACUAAAGGUGCCAGUAGCCGCUGAGGAGCCACCCACUCGAUAAACCAAACAAGAACAAAGAAUGGAUGAUGUAGGCAAUCUAUCAGAUAUAGAAAAUACAUAUAAGGAAAUACCUGAAAGGCAUUAUGUGAACUGUAAUGGAAAGAAGGAAAUAAAUGGCUGACCUCGUAAAUCAAAGUUACUUCCUUCUUGUGACGGAACAAAACGCACUGGAUUGUGAUACUCGGCCUGAGACUUGACUGGGCGACACGUGGCAGGCGUGCCAAGGGGAGGCAGGUGCAGCUGAGAUUAGGAGAGAGGAAACCAUGACAAAGUUUCCUCUUUCCCCAUCUUCCCUCCCAGCAGCUCCAUCACCCCAAGCCACACCGCCUCGGCCACAAUUACGGGAGAGGUGAGUGGUAUGUUUGGCUUUCCCUUCAACAUGUGGCUCACAGCCCGCGGUGCUGUGCGGUGCUGUGCUGUGCUGUGCUGUGCUACACUGGCCUGCCCUCAAAACCUGCUUCACUGGCUACGGGGAUUUUCGCUCCUUUGACUAACGGUUGUCUGCUUUUUUUGUUAGUGAUUGAGCUUCUCUUAUGAAGGAAGAGUUUAAUGUUUUGCGUGAUCAGAUGGCAGCGUGUUUGGCGCCUAUUCCUCCUGUAAACCAACACCCAGUCCCCACCACACGGCUGGAUAUUCUGGCCCAAACCUUCACUAAGAAUCCUCGCUGAAAAUUUCAUGCAGGGAUAGUUGCUCUGAAGUAAGCCGUUAUGUUGUUGUCCCGUCUGUCAAAAAUGUUGUACGCAAUACAACCCAGAAGGUGGCUGUCCCCAGAACGUCAUCCCAUCGUCCGACACAUGUCCUGUAUUGCCAGGCACCAACCGAGCAUCUCUAGAAAAAUAAGUACAAACAAGUACAUUCGUGUCACUCAUUCCUUUCCUUUUAAAAGCGGCUCUCCUGUCACGCUCAGUAAGCCGCAAUGGUGUUCCUGUUACAAUCUUAAUCCGUUAUUUUCACGGUUAUCGCUCUACUGCACCAGUUAACUGCAGGCUCCCGCCCCUCCCCUCCUCUUGCGGUCCCGCUGCACAACACUGGCCAUUCAUUAUCACUCCUAUUUUACUAAUCUUUUUUUAAUACUGUAAAUAUCUUCACGCUCUCAUCUCCUUUACCAUAAAUUCUGGAAAUCUGCCUUCCUAUAAUAUUUUCGGUCUUUCUAUAACUUUUAGCAAAGAGCCAUAAAGGAGGAGCAAACAGCAGCCGACCUGCUGGCCUUUACGAGUCUGUUUGUGAUAAGAAACACUACUCGUAUCUAAUCCAAAGCAAAGGCUUCCCCUCCCAUCCCUCGCCGCCCCCUCAAGCCAUCGCUGGCGAGAAUGGGGGAAGACCCUUGCGCCAUAUAAAAGUUGCAUAUCAAUUUUCAUGGGAACAAGAUAAGAGCUACCACUACUGCAAAUACUAGCCUGGGGAGACGAGCCAAGUCAGACCAGUCGCAAUAAAGCUUCAACAGAGCGGCAUUUUGUAAUGACAAGCAAAGACUGCACUUUUCUAGAUAAGGAAUAGCAUCUUGGUACACAGAGCGUACACUUUUACAGGGAGGAUCGACCACUUCAUCCUUUUGCAGCAUUUAGUGAGCUUACUCUAUCAGAUUUACGGACCUCCAGGUGCUUCCACAUUAACUUCAAAAUUCAUACACACAACUGGCAUGGACUGGCAGUGGACUGCUGCCAUCCCGCUCUCCUAUCAUGGCGUAGGAGCGCCGGUAGGUCUAGGAGUCCUGAUUACUCCUGCCUCCCACUCGGUGCUUCAAUCUAUGCAGAGGUAAGAGGAUGUGUUCCUAAUAUAGUGACUGAGUAACGAAUGACGCCGGGUUUGAGCUUAUUUGUAGGAAAAGAAAGUUCCGGGGCGCGUCAGUGCCUGUGUGGUGUUGCAACCCCUGGUGCCAAGAAGACUGUGCCCCGCCUACAUGGUCUCUUUUGUCCCGACACACUCAACAUCUUUUGUAGGUGAUGGCAGACACACAAACUAUUCUUUUCUUACUGUGGAUUAUACUUUUUUUUUCAUAAAUAAUUAAUUUAUGGAAAAGCAAGACUAUUAAAAUAUUCAUUACCAUCACCACUUUUAGUACUACUACUACUACUACUACUACUACUACUACUACUACUACUACUACUACUAAUGCUGCUGCUGCUAUUAUUACACUACUACUACUACUACUACUACUACUACUACUACUACUACUACUACUACUACAACUUCUACCACAACCACUGCCACCAUUACUACACAACAACAAUUGCUGCUGGCGUUACCACCACCACCACCACCACCAGACAGACGGGCGGGAGUAAAUGGGAGCAUCAGGCACCACUCCACAAAGACAAGAGGCACAAGUACACGGCCUCCAGCAGAGCGGGCGUCGGUCGGUCACCAGCGGGAGGGAGGCGAGGCGAGCAACCUGUCGAGGCCGCAGGAGGGAGGGAGGGAGGUGCACCAGCCUGUCUGUCUGGCUGCCACCACCCACAACCUCGCUAAAGCCGCCACCACCACCACCACCACCACCACGGAGGCCCUCACUUCAAUCCCUUUAGCGGCGGGAAGAGCAUGCUACACGUGAUGUCCGCCUUUCUUCCCAUGAGCAUUCGCGUAGGGUGGGCGGCACGGUGGUGAGAGCAGCUUGCAACUCUUGACACAAAGGCGGAGUCUGUGUCUUCGCCAGCUGGUGCGAAAAAUUUAGGCCCUGUAGACUCCUAAGUGUUACCUUGAGGCUUGAAAAAUUGUCCUCUUCUUCAGAAACCCGUAGAGAUAUGAUUGUUCAGAUUGUUCACCUGCAGACUGUGAGUGGAAGGGACAAUGUUUAUUUGAUAAUUAUCCGCCCAAAAGUUUGUGUACGAACCUGGCUCACCCUAGCUUUCCGGCGGGUGUGGUAGCGUUCCAUCUCAACGUUACAAGACCUCCACUGUAAUUCGUACUGUAACUCAAUUUUCUUUUUUUUUCCCCCCUAACACCUGCUACCAUGAGCACUCCAUCAUGACGUCAGCGAAGAGAAGGAAGAAGAAUCGACAGAAAAAAUUACUAGUUUGUUGUAACGUUUCCACUUGUUUGAGUGUAGCGGUAAUAAAGCUGAACGAAGGUCAAGGCAGUGUUAGGUUAUGGCUGCUGACUCAGUGUGUGUGAAGAGGCUGGCGUGUGGCGAGCGUGGUGGUGGUGGUGAUUUAUGAGUAUUGCGCGCGCUCUUGUGUGUGUGUGUGUGUGUGUGUGUGUGUGUGUGUGUGUGUGUGUGUGUGUGUGUGUGUGUGUGUG